rnacentral:snoRNA from 1 species
UUGCACUGCGUAUCAAAGGCUACCCCAAAAAAUUUAUUCUUGAAAUAUAGAAUAAAUAAAUAAUGGAGUAGCCUCUGAUCGACUGUGCAGAAAUGGAAUGCCGAUCUUUUUGAUCGGCGGCGGCCAGACAACCGUUGAGAUGAAUCCACAGAGGAGUUCCUUUUUUCGCCGGAGCUUCUCUACUAAAUUCAUCUCAUAUUC